CAUAGUUACCAUGGUUUCAAUGAGUUAGUAAGGUGCUUAAUAUACAACAGCCUGGUGUUUAUAUCCUGUUUUUGAACACUAUUAAGAGGCUUGGGUAAUACAAGGUACACUAACUAACUUUCCCAUUAUAUGAUAAGAGUCAAAGUGACCAUAACAAAAUGCAUUAUCCAAAAGCAAUAACAACAGAUACAGAUAAUCACUAUAUAUGUGCUGACGUAUUGAGUCUGCACUUAUCUUGAUCUUGCUUACAAAUUCUAAAGCCAGGUGGAAAGGUGAUGUAAUGUGCUUCAUCAACUAAACAAACCGGUUUGGAAAGCAGAUGAAUGUUAAUAUCCUACAUUACAGGAAGGAAAUGAGCACUGCAAUUUGAAGAGAAUUUAUUCACUUGGGAUGGCUUUAAAAGUCUGUUCCACAGGAAACUACUAUGAUAGUGUUCUAAGAUAUAAAGUUUCAGGAAG